rnacentral:lncRNA from 1 species
UCUCAUUAGUUUUUGAGGACUCAGCUCGUGCUUUCCACUCUCCUGUAGUUAGUAGCACGUGUUCGUCUAUUCUGGAGUCGUAGCUCCGCAACCUCUCCUCGUGAGCUUUGAGAGAACCGGUUACUUCUUCAAUCGUCUUUACAGACAGAUUCCUGAAUUCUUCUAUGGUUGAGGCAAUCUGAAGAUACUUAGGGGACACUGAUCGCAACAUUUUCUUUACUACAUAAGUUUCAUUAACCACUUCUCCAAGUGCUCGGAGCUUGUUGACAACAGUUGAGAUUUUUCCUGUGAAAUCAUCGACAGACUCACC